GACCUUUAAAUAGGCAAAGCUCAAAGUUGUGGGAAAUAGAAAGCAAAACAUAUUAUGAGUGGAUCAGUAGGUAUGAUAGUGGAGGUGUUCAUCUCACUUCUGGGUUUCCCAGCUGAUAAAUUACAGAUAAAAGAAAAAUAGCAUUUUAUGUUGGUUAUUGGUUCCCUACACAUAAUGCUGUAGGAUAGAAGUUGGAAGACUUCUUUUCUAUAAAGGGCCAGGUAGCAAAUAUUCCAGGCUUAAGGGCCACAUAACAUAUGUUUUUUUGUUUACAACCCUUGAAAAGUGUAAAAACCAUUCUUAAAAGCUAUACAAAACAGGAUGUGGGCCAUAUUUGCCCUCAGACUCUAAUUUGUUAUGAUAGGGCAACACCUAAUUUUGCAAAGUGUUCCCUCCCUGUUGGCAUUGGAACUGAGUAUUUAAAAGGCCAUUUAAGAGUUCUUAAGACCAACUGCUUCUGGAUGAUGAGAUAUACUAUACAGUAAGACUCUAGUGAGUCUUGUGAGUAUGUUAUUCUGGGCAACCAGGGAUUAGCACUAUUGUCUAAUAAUCCCUUUAAAGAGAAAAAUGUUUCCAUUCCCCAUGUUUGGUUUUACCCUAGCAAGUAACUAUAUAUCCCUUUGAGGAGGCUGAGAAAACGAUUUACAUAUCAUAAUCAAAAGCUCCUUUCUUAAAAGUAAUAGAAUACUCUGUACUCAGGGGCCUCAGGGUCUGAACUUCCCAAGACUAAAAAAUGGUUGAGGGCUUUUACGCUUAAUAAUAUCCACAGUCUGGCCUCUAUUUUCCCAGCUUAGAGUUUAUUCAUUUGUAUAAAUAUGUAAGUCCUAAUGAGCUACCUGUUACAUAGCUUUCCAUCACUGUGACAAAAUUACUGAGAAAAUCAAUUUAGAGGAGGAAGGAUUUAUUUUGGCUUACAGUUUCA
rnacentral:lncRNA from 1 species